rnacentral:rRNA from 1 species
CUGCCGUGGGCGCUGGAGAAUUGAGGGGGGCUGCUCCUAGUACGAGAGGACCGGAGUGGACGCAUCACUGGUGUUCGGGUUGUCAUGCCAAUGGCACUGCCCGGUAGCUAAAUGCGGAAGAGAUAAGUGCUGAAAGCAUCUAAGCACGAAACUUGCCCCGAGAUGAGUUCUCCCUGAGACUUUAGGUCUCCUGAAGGAACGUUGAAGACGACGACGUUGAUAGGCCGGGUGUGUAAGCGCAGCGAUGCGUUGAGCUAACCGGUACUAAUGAACCGUGAGGCUUAACCUUACAACGCCGAAG